CUACGUGCCAGCAGCCGCGGUAAUACGGAAGGUCCGGGCGUUAUCCGGAUUUAUUGGGUUUAAAGGGAGUGUAGGCGGUCUGUUAAGCGUGUUGUGAAAUUUAGGUGCUCAACAUUUAACUUGCAGCGCGAACUGUCAGACUUGAGUACACGCAGCGCAGGCGGAAUUCAUGGUGUAGCGGUGAAAUGCUUAGAUAUCAUGAGGAACUCCGAUCGCGAAGGCAGCCUGCGGGAGUGUUACUGACGCUUAAGCUCGAAGGUGCGGGUAUCGAACAGGAUUAGAUACCCUGGUAGUCCGCACAGUAAACGAUGGAUGCCCGCCGUUGGCGCGCUGCGCCUGCGGCCAAGCGAAAGCAUUAAGCAUCCCACCUGGGGAGUACGCCGGCAACGGUGAAACUCAAAGGAAUUGACGGGGGCCCGCACAAGCGGAGGAACAUGUGGUUUAAUUCGAUGAUACGCGAGGAACCUUACCCGGGCUUGAAUUGCAGUCGCUGCCCACAGAGA
rnacentral:rRNA from 1 species